CGGCGGACGGGUGAGUAACACGUGGAUAACCUACCUAUAAGACUGGAUAACUUCGGGAAACCGUAGCUAAUACCGGAUAAUAUAUUGAACCGCAUGGUUCAAUAGUGAAAGACGGUUUUGCUGUCACUUAUAGAUGGAUCCGCGCCGCAUUAGCUAGUUGGUAAGGUAACGGCUUACCAAGGCAACGAUGCGUAGCCGACCUGAGAGGGUGAUCGGCCACACUGGAACUGAGACACGGUCCAG
rnacentral:rRNA from 1 species